GCGGGGGUAGCUAAGCACGGUUAACAGCGAGGGACUUAAGAUCCCUUCCCCUAGGGGUUCGUGGGUUCGAAUCCCACCCCCCGCA
rnacentral:tRNA from 1 species